rnacentral:rRNA from 1 species
AACAGCUGCGGUAUUUUAACUGUACUAAGGUAGCAUAAUAAUUUGCCUUAUAAUUUGAGGCUAGAAUGAAUGGUUUGACGAAGGUUAAUCUGUCUCUAUUUUACUUUUUAGAAAUUAAUUUUCACAGUGAAAAAGCUUGGAUUUUUUAAAGGGACGAGAAGACCCUAUUGAGCUUAUAAUUUUAUUACCGUUAGUAGUGAUUAAAAUUUUACUAAGGGUAUAUAAAUUUUAAUUGGGGUGAUUAAGGAAUAAAAGCUUAUGUAUUAAUAACUUCCUUAGAAAUAAAUAAAAAAUUGUUAGAUAAAGUAACCAAUAAAUUGUUAAAAUUAUUGCUUAUACUAUAGUUACCAUAGGGAUAACAGCGUAAUUUAUUUAGAGAGUUCUUAUUGAAAAAUAAGAUUGCGACCUCGAUGUUGGAUUAAAGUAACCUUAAGGUGCAGAAGCUUUAAUAAGGUAAAUCUGUUCGAUUUUUAAAACUUUACGUGAUCUGAGUCCAAA